rnacentral:rRNA from 1 species
CUCGUAGGCGGUUUGUCGCGUCGGGAGUGAAAACACCGGGCUUAACUCGGUGCUUGCUUCCGAUACGGGCAGACUAGAGGUAUGCAGGGGAGAACGGAAUUCCUGGUGUAGCGGUGAAAUGCGCAGAUAUCAGGAGGAACACCGGUGGCGAAGGCGGUUCUCUGGGCAUGUCCUGACGCUGAGGAGCGAAAGUGUGGGGGAGCGAAC